AUUGAACGCUGGCGGCAGGCCUAACACAUGCAAGUCGAACGAGUGGCGAACGGGUGAGUCAUGUCUGGGAAACUGCCUGAUGGAGGGGGAUAACUACUGGAAACGGUAGCUACUAACGCAUACCCUCCGAUGUGCCCCGAUGGGAUUAGCGCGUUGGGGGGGUAACGGCUCACCAAGGCGACGCUCCCUAGCUGGUAUGAGAGGAUGACAGGCCACACUGGAACUGAGACACGGUCCAGACUCCUACGGGAGGCAGCAGUGGGGAAUAUUGCACAAUGGGCGCAAGCCUGAUGCAGACAGGCCGCGGGGAUGAAGAAGGCCUUCGGGUUGUAAAGUACUGUCAGCGGGGAGGCGUUACCCGCAGAAGAAGCACCGGCUAACUCCGUGCCAGCAGCCGCGGUAAUAC
rnacentral:rRNA from 1 species